rnacentral:rRNA from 1 species
AUUGAACGCUGGCGGCAUGCUUUACACAUGCAAGUCGAACGGUAACAGGCCGCAAGGUGCUGACGAGUGGCGAACGGGUGAGUAAUGCAUCGGAACGUGCCCAGUCGUGGGGGAUAACGCAGCGAAAGCUGUGCUAAUACCGCAUACGAUCUAUGGAUGAAAGCGGGGGACCGUAAGGCCUCGCGCGAUUGGAGCGGCCGAUGUCAGAUUAGGUAGUUGGUGGGGUAAAGGCUCACCAAGCCAACGAUCUGUAGCUGGUCUGAGAGGACGACCAGCCAGACUGGGACUGAGACACGGCCCAGACUCCUACGGGAGGCAGCAGUGGGGAAUUUUGGGCAAUGGGCGCAAGCCUGAUCCAGCAAUGCCGCGUGCAGGAAGAAGGCCUUCGGGUUGUAAACUGCUUUUGUACGGAACGAAACGGCGAGCUCUAAUACAGUUUGCUAAUGACGGUACCGUAAGAAUAAGCACCGGCUAACUACGUGCCAGCCGCCGCAGUAA